UACGGAGGGGGCUAGCGUUGUUCGGAAUUACUGGGCGUAAAGCGCGCGUAGGCGGGCUGUUAAGUCGGGGGUGAAAUCCCGGGGCUCAACCCCGGAACGGCCUCCGAUACUGGCAGCCUUGAGGUCGGGAGAGGUGAGUGGAAUGGCGAGUGUAGAGGUGAAAUUCGUAGAUAUUCGCCGGAACACCAGUGGCGAAGGUGGCUCACUGGCCCGAUACUGACGCUGAGGUGCGACAGCGUGGGGAGCGAACAGG
rnacentral:rRNA from 1 species